CCUACGGGAGGCAGCAGUGGGGAAUUUUGGACAAUGGGCGAAAGCCUGAUCCAGCCAUGCCGCGUGCAGGAUGAAGGCCUUCGGGUUGUAAACUGCUUUUGUACGGAACGAAAAGCCUCUUUCUAAUAAAGAGGGGUCAUGACGGUACCGUAAGAAUAAGCACCGGCUAACUACGUGCCAGCAGCCGCGGUAAUACGUAGGGUGCGAGCGUUAAUCGGAAUUACUGGGCGUAAAGCGUGCGCAGGCGGUUAUAUAAGACAGUUGUGAAAUCCCCGGGCUCAACCUGGGAACUGCAUCUGUGACUGUAUAGCUAGAGUACGGUAGAGGGGGAUGGAAUUCCGCGUGUAGCAGUGAAAUGCGUAGAUAUGCGGAGGAACACCGAUGGCGAAGGCAAUCCCCUGGACCUGUACUGACGCUCAUGCACGAAAGCGUGGGGAGCAAACAGGAUUAGAUACCCUGGUAGUCCACGCCCUAAACGAUGUCAACUGGUUGUUGGGAAUUCACUUUCUCAGUAACGAAGCUAACGCGUGAAGUUGACCGCCUGGGGGAGGUACGGCCGCGAGGUAGAACGUACGAAGAAGUAGACGGCGUGAGACGUGCGACGGACGACGACGACGGGAGGAGG
rnacentral:rRNA from 1 species